GAUCAUGGCUCAGGAUGAACGCUAGCUACAGGCUUAACACAUGCAAGUCGAGGGGAAACGACAUCGAAAGCUUGCUUUUGAUGGGCGUCGACCGGCGCACGGGUGAGUAACGCGUAUCCAACCUACCCACCACUUGGGGAUAACCUUGCGAAAGUAAGACUAAUACCCAAUGACGUCUCUAGAAGACAUCUGAAAGAGAUUAAAGAUUUAUCGGUGAUGGAUGGGGAUGCGUCUGAUUAGCUUGUUGGCGGGGUAACGGCCCACCAAGGCAACGAUCAGUAGGGGUUCUGAGAGGAAGGUCCCCCACAUUGGAACUGAGACACGGUCCAAACUCCUACGGGAGGCAGCAGUGAGGAAUAUUGGUCAAUGGGCGAGAGCCUGAACCAGCCAAGUAGCGUGCAGGAUGACGGCCCUAUGGGUUGUAAACUGCUUUUAUAAGGGAAUAAAGUGGGUCACGUGUGACUUUUUGCAUGUACCUUAUGAAUAAGGACCGGCUAAUUCCGUG
rnacentral:rRNA from 1 species